UUUUAAAAGCUGUUUGCAUUUCCGCUUCUGCUUUAUAACAAUCAUCGGACGUCCAAGCUUUACUUUUCUUAUUUUUUGCAAUCUCUUUUUUUAAUUCAGUUCGCAUUGCAGACAGCUGUUCUCGACUAUCUUUUGCGUAUCCUUCUAAUACUUUGGCCAACUGCUGCCGACUUUCUAAAGUGGUUCGUUGUGGCUUCACCUCAAUUGUUGAUGCAUUCAGCUUAUUAGCUACAAACGGGUAUCUGCUAUCUUCAAUUGCUUUUAGGAUGUUUUUUAUGUCAACGUCUUCAAAUGGACGAAUAAUAAUUUGCUGAGAACCUUUCUGACUAACAGCUGCAAUUUCUCGAAGCAGACGACUAGGAGUAGGAGCUUUUAUGCUUUUGGAUGGUAUGAAAAGUGCUUCUAGUUGAGUGAAAUUUCCUUGACUCGGUAAAACAACUGCCUCUUGAAAUCGUUUAGCCAACUUUUCGUGAACCAAUUGCAUUUUUGCUUCAAAGCUUUUCAACAUUUUAUUAAAUGAAUUAGCAAAUUCUGGAUCGUGAUCAUGCUUAACAUCUUUAUCCUUAGCUUUUUUAUGCAAAAUUCCACCAUUAUGAAAUGCACAUCUGGGCGACAGUAUAGAAGUGUGGAACCGUUGUGAAUCUUGAAACAACGUUGCUUUGCUAAUAAUCCGAAACAUUAAAAAAAGAGAGACUGAUGGAUAUGAGAAAAGCAAUGACUAACUGAUUCUUUUCACCAAUUUACUACGUGAUGCAGAUUUACCUUAUGCGUAUUUGAAUAACGGAGAUGAAGGUAUUGAAAUAUACAGGACAAUACAUUGCACUGUGUUAUUA